ACCGAACCGACUAAUGUUGAAAAAUUAGCGGAUGACUUGUGGCUGGGGGUGAAAGGCCAAUCAAACCGGGAGAUAGCUGGUUCUCCCCGAAAGCUAUUUAGGUAGCGCCUCGUGAAUUCAUCUCCGGGGGUAGAGCACUGUUUCGGCAAGGGGGUCAUCCCGACUUACCAACCCGAUGCAAACUGCGAAUACCGGAGAAUGUUAUCACGGGAGACACACGGCGGGUGCUAACGUCCGUCGUGAAGAGGGAAACAACCCAGACCGCCAGCUAAGGUCCCAAAGUCAUGGUUAAGUGGGAAACGAUGUGGGAAGGCCCAGACAGCCAGGAUGUUGGCUUAGAAGCAGCCAUCAUUUAAAGAAAGCGUAAUAGCUCACUGGUCGAGUCGGCCUGCGCGGAAGAUGUAACGGGGCUAAACCAUGCACCGAAGCUGCGGCAGCGACACUAUGUGUUGUUGGGUAGGGGAGCGUUCUGUAAGCCUGUGAAGGUGGCCUGUGAGGGUUGCUGGAGGUAUCAGAAGUGCGAAUGCUGACAUAAGUAACGAUAAAGCGGGUGAAAAGCCCGCUCGCCGGAAGACCAAGGGUUCCUGUCCAACGUUAAUCGGGGCAGGGUGAGUCGACCCCUAAGGCGAGGCCGAAAGGCGUAGUCGAUGGGAAACAGGUUAAUAUUCCUGUACUUGGUGUUACUGCGAAGGGGGGACGGAGAAGGCUAUGUUGGCCGGGCGACGGUUGUCCCGGUUUAAGCGUGUAGGCUGGUUUUCCAGGCAAAUCCGGAAAAUCAAGGCUGAGGCGUGAUGACGAGGCACUACGGUGCUGAAGCGACAAAUGCCCUGCUUCCAGGAAAAGCCUCUAAGCAUCAGGUAACAUCAAAUCGUACCCCAAACCGACACAGGUGGUCAGGUAGAGAAUACCAAGGCGCUUGAGAGAACUCGGGUGAAGGAACUAGGCAAAAUGGUGCCGUAACUUCGGGAGAAGGCACGCUGAUAUGUAGGUGAAGCGACUUGCUCGUGGAGCUGAAAUCAGUCGAAGAUACCAGCUGGCUGCAACUGUUUAUUAAAAACACAGCACUGUGCAAACACGAAAGUGGACGUAUACGGUGUGACGCCUGCCCGGUGCCGGAAGGUUAAUUGAUGGGGUUAGCGGUAACGCGAAGCUCUUGAUCGAAGCCCCGGUAAACGGCGGCCGUAACUAUAACGGUCCUAAGGUAGCGAAAUUCCUUGUCGGGUAAGUUCCGACCUGCACGAAUGGCGUAAUGAUGGCCAGGCUGUCUCCACCCGAGACUCAGUGAAAUUGAACUCGCUGUGAAGAUGCAGUGUACCCGCGGCAAGACGGAAAGACCCCGUGAACCUUUACUAUAGCUUGACACUGAACAUUGAGCCUUGAUGUGUAGGAUAGGUGGGAGGCUUUGAAGUGUGGACGCCAGUCUGCAUGGAGCCGACCUUGAAAUACCACCCUUUAAUGUUUGAUGUUCUAACGUGGGCCCCUUACCGGGGUUGCGGACAGUGUCUGGUGGGUAGUUUGACUGGGGCGGUCUCCUCCUAAAGAGUAACGGAGGAGCACGAAGGUUGGCUAAUCCUGGUCGGACAUCAGGAGGUUAGUGCAAUGGCAUAAGCCAGCUUGACUGCGAGCGUGACGGCGCGAGCAGGUGCGAAAGCAGGUCAUAGUGAUCCGGUGGUUCUGAAUGGAAGGGCCAUCGCUCAACGGAUAAAAGGUACUCCGGGGAUAACAGGCUGAUACCGCCCAAGAGUUCAUAUCGACGGCGGUGUUUGGCACCUCGAUGUCGGCUCAUCACAUCCUGGGGCUGAAGUAGGUCCCAAGGGUAUGGCUGUUCGCCAUUUAAAGUGGUACGCGAGCUGGGUUUAGAACGUCGUGAGACAGUUCGGUCCCUAUCUGCCGUGGGCGCUGGAGAACUGAGGGGGGCUGCUCCUAGUACGAGAGGACCGGAGUGGACGCAUCACUGGUGUUCGGGUUGUCAUGCCAAUGGCACUGCCCGGUAGCUAAAUGCGGAAGAGAUAAGUGCUGAAAGCAUCUAAGCACGAAACUUGCCCCGAGAUGAGUUCUCCCUGACUCCUUGAGAGUCCUGAAGGAACGUUGAAGACGACGACGUUGAUAGGCCGGGUGUGUAAGCGCAGCGAUGCGUUGAGCUAACCGGUACUAAUGAACCGUGAGGCUUAACCUUACAACGCCGAAG
rnacentral:rRNA from 1 species